GUGGGGCCAGAGUAUAAAGGUAUCAUCAACAUAUCGCAGGCAUAGGUUUGGUUUUAGUGAUGAUGAUCCUAAAGCUAAAUCCUCAAAGGUUCACAAACAUGGU